rnacentral:hammerhead_ribozyme from 2 species
GUCCAGCCGAUGAGUCCCAAAUAGAACGAAACCCGCGUCCUGGAU